rnacentral:rRNA from 1 species
GACGAACGCUGGCGGCGUGCUUAACACAUGCAAGUCGAGCGGUAAGGCCCUUUCGGGGGUACGACGAGCGGCGAACGGGUAGAGUAACACGUGGGUGGACCUCGCCCUCCAGCGUCCUGGGAGUAAAGACCGUCGGGAAACCGGGGUACCGUAAUAACUGGAUAUGACUCCAUGACGCAUGUUGUGGGGUGGAAAGACCUUGUGCGGC